GUGACGUUCAACGGCCGCGGUAUUCUAACCGUGCAAAGGUAGCGUAAUCACUUGUUUUCUAAAUAAAGACUAGUAUGAAAGGCACCACGAGGAAUAAGCUGUCUCCUUUUUCUAAUCAGUGAAUCUAAUCUCCCCGUGAAGAAGCGGGGAUUAAAAUAUAAGACGAGAAGACCCUGUGGAGCUUAAGACUCUAUAACAUCUAUAUUCUAAUUGUACGUCUUUGGUUGGGGUGACCGCGGAGAAAAACUAACCCUCCCCAGUGAAAAACAGUAAGCUACAGCUUUAUGUAUCAAAAAAUUGACUUGUUGACCCAAUAAGUUGAUCAAUGAACCAAGUUACCCCAGGGAUAACAGCACAAUCCGCUUUGAGAGCUCAUAUCGACAAGCGGGCUUAUGACCUCGAUGUUGGAUCGGGAUAUCCUAGUGGUGUAGCCGCUACUAA
rnacentral:rRNA from 1 species